rnacentral:rRNA from 1 species
CCUACGGGGGGCUGCAGUGGGGAAUUUUGCGCAAUGGGCGAAAGCCUGACGCAGCAACGCCGCGUGGGUGAUGAAGGUCUUCGGAUCGUAAAACCCUGUCGUUGUGGACGAAGGUGGGGGCGUUAAUAGCGUUUCUGCUUGACGGUACCCGGAGAGGAAGCCCCGGCUAACUCUGUGCCAGCAGCCGCGGUAAUACAGAGGGGACUAGCGUUGUUCGGAGUUAUUGGGCGUAGUUGUCGCAGUCAGAGGUGUAAUCCCCGAGCUCAACUUGGGAACUGCAUCUGAGACUGGAAGGCUAGAGUACUGGAGAGGGUGGUGGAAUUCCUCGUGUAGCGGUGAAAUGCGUAGAGAUGAGGAGGAACACCAGUGGCGAAGGCGGCCACCUGGACAGUAACUGACGCUGAGGCGCGAAAGUGUGGGUAGCAAACAGGAUUAGAUACCCUAGUAGUC